ACCAAAAUUUCUGUAACUCGUACAUGCAUGUAUAUGUUGUCCUUUUCAGAAAAGCGCAAACACUUCACUGAACUAACUCACCUGAUUGAAUUUCACUUCCUGGUGCAGGCGCAUUGUACCAACCCUCUCUACUUCAGCCUACCAGGAGGGAGGAAGGCCACCGUCUUUCCUUCUCCUUCCAUGUCAUCCUCAGCGUCGGUGCUUGUGCAGUACAGGUAGGUGACAGAGCCGGCAAGGAUGCCCAGGGCUGCUCCUCUGUGUUUCUUAGGAGCCCGCUGCCCCACCGUGCUCAGGCAGGGCAGCACGUGUUGGCCACGCUCACCAGCUGGCUGAGCUCCACCCGGAACCCUGUGCUGGGGCCUUGGGAGGCCUGAUGGGGAUGGGCUCACACUCAUCCACACAUCCCUUCUGCUCAGAGGGCCCAGGGCUUCAUUUAGCACAAGUUCAGACAUGAAACCGUUAAGAAUUCCAGCGUAGCCGCAGCCCAGCACUGAACCCAAUGCCUGCUCCUCUGACUGUCUACCUUGGCUGGUUCCUGUGUCACUGGAAGGAGGAAGGAACCCCUCCCCCGUCACCACGGUUGUUCUGUUUUGGGGCCUGGCACCAUCACCCAACAACUAUUUGCUGAAUAAACGCAUUGUUCACCCACUGAGUAUUUGCUGAGCACCUACUGGCAGGGCGCCCUGAGGGCGCAGAGAUACAGCUGAGGACAGCGCAGCUUCUAACCUUGCCAUCCCCAAGGUGCGCGGAGCCCUCAGGGUGACCCAGCUUGCUGACGAGCAAGCGGAGGCCG
rnacentral:lncRNA from 1 species